UACGAAGGGGGCUAGCGUUGCUCGGAAUCACUGGGCGUAAAGCGCACGUAGGCGGACUCUUAAGUCGGUGGUGAAAUCCUGGAGCUCAACUCCAGAACUGCCUUCGAUACUGAGAGUCUCGAGUCCGGGAGAGGUGAGUGGAACUGCGAGUGUAGAGGUGAAAUUCGUAGAUAUUCGCAAGAACACCAGUGGCGAAGGCGGCAUCCUGGACCAAUUCUGACGCUGAGGAGCGAAAGCCAGGGGAGCAAACGGG
rnacentral:rRNA from 1 species